rnacentral:rRNA from 1 species
CCUACGGGAGGCAGCAGUGGGGAAUAUUGGUCAAUGGACGCAAGUCUGACCCAGCAACGCCGCGUGAAGGAAGAAGGCUCUCGGGUUGUAAACCUCUUUUUAGGGGGAAGAGCAGAAGACGGUACCCCUUGAAUAAGCCAUGGCUAACUACGGUCCAGCAGCCGCGUAAUACGCAGGUGGCAAGCUUUGUCCGGAUUUACUGGGUGUAAUCGGCGUUCAUCCGGGAAGACAAGUCCGGUGUGAAAUCCACGGUCUCAACCCGUGAACUGCAGUUGAACCCGUUUCCCUUGAGUGUCGGAGAGGUAAUCGGAAUUCCUUGUGUAGCGGUGAAAUGCGUAGAUAUAAGGAAGAACACCAGGGGCGAAGGCGGAUUACUGGACGAUAACUGACGGUGAGGCGCGAAAGCGUGGGGAGCAAACAGGAUUAGAUACCCCUGUAGUC